AAAUCAGCAACCAGUGCGAGUGUCAGAAGCGCCGUGUGUGCCUCUGAACGACGUCUUGAUCCCAACGCAGCCUGGUGAUGGCUUCAUGCGGUGUCGUCCCAGGCUCUGCGAAAUCCCGUUGGAAGCCUUGCCUGCGACCUGUGAAUUUAAAAUUUUGAAGUCCGAGUAUAAAUACUGGCAUCAGCUGCGGACGGCUCCUGCGUCCACAGCCACGCGCUCGACCGCUCUGGGGGUGACUGCAGAACCGCACCUUUCUGUGCCCCCUUGUGUAAUCU